rnacentral:rRNA from 1 species
GACGAACGCUGGCGGCGUGCCUAAUACAUGCAAGUUGAGCGCUGAAGGUUGGUACUUGUACCAACUGGGUGAGCAGCGAACGGGUGAGUAACGCGUGGGGAAUCUGCCUUUGAGCGGGGGACAACAUUUGGAAACGAAUGCUAAUACCGCAUAAAAACUUUAAACACAAGUUUUAAGUUUGAAAGAUGCAAUUGCAUCACUCAAAGAUGAUCCCGCGUUGUAUUAGCUAGUUGGUGAGGUAAAGGCUCACCAAGGCGAUGAUACAUAGCCGACCUGAGAGGGUGAUCGGCCACAUUGGGACUGAGACACGGCCCAAACUCCUACGGGAGGCAGCAGUAGGGAAUCUUCGGCAAUGGACGAAAGUCCGACCGAGCAACGCCGCGUGAGUGAAGAAGGUUUUCGGAUCGUAAAACUCUGUUGGUAGAGAAGAACGUUGGUGAGAGUGGAAAGCUCAUCAAGUGACGGUAACUACCCAGAAAGGGACGGCUAACUACGUG